GCGGGCAUAGCUCAGUGGUAGAGCACACGCUCAGCGUGCAUGAGGUCCUGGGUUCUAUUCCCAGUACCUCCA
rfam:Camelus ferus unplaced genomic scaffold scaffold1050, whole genome shotgun sequence.